UCUUAUCCACUAGCCGCCGGAUUUGGAGGAGCGGCCAGCGUUGCAACCCCCCGGCGACGUGCCUGCACGCGGCCCCGGCGACGCGCCAUCCCCCGACGGCGAGGAUGCGGGAGGGCUGCUGUCGUGCGAGGGCGAGCGGCGGGCACCAUGUUGCGGCCUUGUGGGAGGGCGCCGGCCGGCAGAGGCUGUUCGGGCGACUGGAGCGGCGACGGGGUGGCGCGCGAGUGCGGCGGCGAGGAUGCAGGAGGGCUGCGGCGGGCGCCUGCAUGGCCGUCGAUGGGCCGGUGCCCUCCACCCGGCCGUUUUUUUCUUAAUUGCGUUGCAGUUGUGCGCCGGAGGAGCUGCUGGUGCUUGAGGAGGUCGAGGACCCGGACCCAGCUCGAGUUCGACCUUCACGGCGGCGCACUGCACAAGCCCCUCGUGCUGGCUAAAUCCUUUGCAGCGGUUGUGUUUCUGGGCUUGUCCAAUUAGGCUGGUCCGUUGGUGGGCAGGGACCAGGUCGUUCGGAGGGAAGGCUGUUCCGAUCAAACAAAAAGGUUCGUCACGGGGGAGGCUGUUUUACCGAACAAAAGGUUCGGACUGGGAUGCCCCCAGGCCGAACAUUCGUUAGUUAUCGGGGUCCUUCAAUUAUCAUCAAGUGCAUGCAGCCAUUGAACUUUUCACCACAUGCAAACCCUCCACAUUAUCAAGCACAUGCAAGCCCUCCACAUAUAUUUUUUGUUUUUAGAAUAAAUAAAUAAACUUGAAUGUCAGCAAUGUAACAUGCAUCCACCCUCCAUUUAUCUCUUAUGUUUUCUCCCGUCAUAUGAUGAUAAUGUGAUGUGAUAUUAUUCUCAUAUAUUCUAAUUUUAUUUUUGAUAAUUUCAUUGCUAUAAAUUUACCAAGCCUUUAGCAAGUUGUGUCGACGGCUUCUCCAUCAACGGUAGCUAAAAGAUGAUGCAUUCAUUGUUGAUGAUUGGCGGGUCAGGUUUCCUCCUCUGACAUCAUCGUGUGGAUGUGCCAGAUCUGGAAUUCGAUCACGCGUCUGGGAUGUUGCCCAGACAGAUCUUACAUUCUUAAGAAGUUGAUCCCCACUACUAGCAAUUCUCUCAACAUGCACAUCGUCCACGUCAACAUGAUGCCACGUCAGCGUAUUUCUCUAACUAGGCAGCCAUGCAUCACAUAUGAGCACAACAAUCAUUUAAUUCUCCUAGCAUCCAGCCAUACAUCGCACAUCAGCGCAAAUGUAGCGUCAGCCCUUUCGGAUUCACCCGAUUGUUCCUUUUCGUUUGCAAAAAGUAACAGCCAAACCACAUCGCAUCCCUAUAUCUUCUCUAAAGAAAAAAGUUUUGACCUAUCCGCAUACAGCCAUGGAAGACAAGCCGUCCACGCCACUCGAUCAGUUGGAGCGGUGCCACCGGCUGCUCCAACUGAUGGGGCGCAGGUGACCCUUCCCUCGCGUGAUUCCAGAUGGGGCUGCCAGCUUCUCCCAUCGCAAGGCCAGAUCUGAUGGGGCCGCAUCGUCCUCCACCGCAAAGCCUACGAUUGGAGGCUGCCGCGAGUUCGUGGUGACUGGUGAGGUAGUUCGAGCUCAACAUGGCUGGUACAGGGCUGCAGCCUGCAGCUUACUGAUCAGCAGAUCGCACUAUUCAUCUGCCCUUUCCCAUUAUCCAGGAGCUCAUUCGACGCUCCCCCAGCACCCUGUCCUGCAUGGCACACUGUUCUCUGUCGGGUUCCCAUCAGAUUGCCUACCAAGAUCAAGGUCCUGCAACUAGUACUCCCUCAUCGGUUCCUCAGUUGAUGUCCGACCACCACCAAGGUCGCUGGAUUACUACAAACAACAAUGGUUCCUCAUGAUUUCUCGAAUGUUGAUAACAUUUCUGUACGUAACUAUGUAGACCAGCUGGGCCCAGUGUUGUGAUCUACCAUCGUCAACGACAUCGAUAUUUGACACCCAUCUCAAGCUGUUACCGCCCAUGUAGGCCAUGGCACAUCUGCUCCCCGCAAAUCCAAUAAGGUGUACUGGCUGAUUCUGGCUAAUUCGACCGCAGUCUCCUUCUUGAGGCGUCUGUUGAUUCUGCCCCGCUCAUCCAGGUUUAUAUUGAAGAGGAAAGAGAAUGUAGCCUACAGGUGGUUCUUAAAUCCAAUGAUUUUCAUCAUAUUUUUCUAAGACAAAUUGUCACUGUUUAUCUGCUAUAUCUGUGAAUUUUAAUUUAUGAUAUGCAAUAUCCUCUCCAUGCAAUCUGAAUGCUAUACAUACAUUACCAAUCUAUUGGUUACACAAAGUCACGUACAUGAGAAGAAUUACAAGCCAUAUUUUAUUUAGGUUCUACACUAGCAAUCUGUAGUGUACUAAUAUCUUUGAAUCAUUACCUAUAUAGGAAAUACUAUAUCGUAUUAUUUAUUCAAAGUGUUAUCUACUCUGAUAUGUGGGUAUUAGUUCAAAGAUUCAGAACAAAUUUCUGCAGCAACGCGUGGGGCGUCAUCUAGUUCUUUCAAUAGUAAUGGCUUCACCUUUGGCGAGCUAUUUUGGAGGUCAGAAAAUCUGCAAAUCAGUGAUGGAACCACGUCGAGCUCGGGUGAAAAGGUGAUAUGUCCCGUUUUCCUUUGGUGACCGCUUUAGUGGUGUUGAAGGCGGGUGACGGAAGUUGUGUGACGACCCGUGUCAUUAUUAUUAUAGAUAAUGACACUAGUUCUUGGAUUAUUUCUUGACAAAAUCUUGUUUUGUCAAAUAAUAAUCCAUGUCAGAGAUUUGCAACAGGGAAUAGCUAGAGAUGGUAAUUUAUAUUACAGUACCAUGCCACGCAGGGCUAAAAGUCUUAGGUAGGCUUCUCACAUGUUCACCAAAUUAUUACAUCUCCUAACACCGAAGCUUCAACUAGUAGUACUACAUAGAUGGUGAUAAAAUGGUUCCUGGAUUACAUAGCUAGGUCAUCAAUUAUUCAUCCCAACCCCCAUAUGUAGCAUCCAUAUCGUACAUAGCACUAGAUGGAUCCACAUCUAGGUCCCCUGUGUAGUUGUAGCCAUCACCAUUGCUCUCCUCACUUGGUCCAGUAGGAUUCUCAUACAAGCUUUGCU